CGUGCGUCCAAUUAUCUUCAUCCUCAUCCUCACUAUUUAUGAGCGUCUGGCAGACCUGAAAGUGGAUAGCUCCUCCAGCACCGUUUUCUACCUCUGGAGGCGGGCUAAUCACAGAUGGACUUUUUCCGAGUCAUCAACGUGAAGCACGUUGGAGCAGAUGUGUCAACUUUGGAGGAUUAGAUCCUGUGGAGGAAACCUGACAAGCAUUUUAAAGGCUGUUUAAUGAAAAUGGAAUGAAGAACGAUUGAACCCRAGUAAAGCUGGGUGUACUGGAGCUCCACUAAGUCGGGGCUCGCGUCUGCGGCUGGAUCCUUAAAGUAGAGUGUGGCAGUGUCUUCCCCCCGCUGGCCCGUCCGCCGGGCCCUAUGC